UUCGUGCAGUUUGUUCGAUUUCAUUGAUUUGUCGUACUUUGUUCUUAUUGCUCGAAGGAACAAAUCACGUAUAUUAACAACGUCAAUUUUCCGUACAGGCUCACUUUGAAGAAUGCUGUUUUGAACAAAAGCGGGCAGAUGGAUGGAAGAAGCUGAAGCCAAAUGCUGUACCAACGCUUUUCCCAUUCAAAGUUGCUCCGAGGAAGCGAAAGCCACCGAGGGAAAGAGCACUGCCUGUGCCCAGGUUAAACCACAAAGAGGUGAGCGAACCUGCCGAUGUACCUCACGCCGCAUCAGACGUAGUGGAAAUGCUCCCUGAGUCAUCUGAAGCGGUAUCACAAGAAACGUCAACGGACAACAUUGAAGUCAACAGCCCAGGUGUCGAAGCUUUGAACGUCAGAAUAGCAAACUCGACUGAUGAAACUCGCACAGUUAGUGAGACACAAAGAGACUAUGCUCAGCUGAAAAAGCAGUUGGCAGACAUAGAAAGAAAAUACGCCACGCUUCAAGAACAUCACAGCAUCACUACGAACACAAUCCAGAACCUCAGAAAGCAAGUCCAUAAGCUUGAAAGUAAGGCUGAGAAUUUCGAAAGAAAUAUACGCUUCUUGAA
rnacentral:lncRNA from 1 species